GCUCCUGGGCAGAGGCUUUGUGCUGACUGCAGCUCGGCUGGCUGUGCUGGACUCAGCCCAGGCUCUCUGCAUCUCCCAGAGGCUCAGCAGGGCCAAGGGCAGCGUUGCAGCAAAGUGCUCCCUGCUGAAGGAUGGGCUGUGCCUGGUGCUGGCAGCGCAGUGGGACAGCUCUGUCACCUCCCUGGGCUCCCUGCUGGACAGUGCCUGCUGGCAGAACCAGUCAGUCCUGGACACUGCAGAGCAUCUCCUGUAUCCCCAGAAUGAGAAUCAGGCAAGUGGAGAAGUUUGUGCUAUGGAUGUGUGUUCUUUGUGCUCCUGUGAUCUAGGAAACUUGUUAAUAUUGGUUGAAAUUUCAAAGAAAAUGAUAACUUUUGUGAGUCAGAGGUGGUGACAGCCCCAAGCCUUGGCUUAGGCUGAGAGCCCAGAACAUGGGGAAGGUGACACCAAAAUCCUGUCAAACUGUCUCCCACAUUACAGUGGUGACACAGCUUUGAAUCAAAACAUUUGGAGAUAUUGAUAAAGGUUCUAUAUUUUCCAUAGAGAUUCUGUUACUUUUUGUGAGAAAUCAACACUGAGAAAAAUAUCACAGAAUUGUGGAAUGGUUUGGGUUGGAAAGGACCUUAAACCCAUCCAGUGCCACCUCCCACUGUCCCAGGCUGCUCCAACCCCAGUGUCCAGCCUGGCCUUGGGCACUGCCAGGGAUCCAGGGGCAGCCACAGCUGCUCUGGGCACCCUGUGCCAGGGCCUGCCCACCCUCCCAGGGCAGAACUUCAAGUGUCUGUGAUAUUUGUCAAAAAUAGUGACAAGAAAUGUUCAUUCAGC
rnacentral:lncRNA from 1 species